rnacentral:lncRNA from 1 species
AAGGAGGGGAAAGUAGGAGUGGUGGAGGGGAAAUGAGGAAGAAAAACAUCUUAGCGGUCACAACCUGGCUAUUUCACAACUUUUGGAAGAGAAGAAAUUGCAUCAUAUGGGAUCUGGAAAAAGCUAAUUCCAGCUGAAAUGCAUUUGGCACAACAUUGAAUGACUUAGCUGGAGGUAGGUUUCUUUUCGUUUGGGUUCACAACGGGCAGUAUGGGACCAACAGUAUUAUUAGAUGCAGGAUUUGCAUCAAGAAACCCCGAGUAUCGUGAGACAUAGCAUCCUCUAAAUGCCUAGUUUAGAUGCUAUGGUAUAAUUCCAAUUGAUGAUGGGAAAAAUUAAACGAGAUAGAAAUCUAUUAAGUAUGAGAAAACAAGCUUCAAGGCAAUUUUGAUUUUCAAAACAUAAACACGUUUUCACCAAACUUGAAAUUUAAUUUCUAAAACUUGCAUUUUUCUUUAGAAGGCAAUGGGAUCAUGGAGGCUGGUAAUCCCACGUUACAGCACAGUGCUGAUCAGCUUUAGUUUAGAUGUAUUUGUUUAGGUGCUAUUAGUUUAGGUGUAAAGAGUUGCAGAAGCAGCCAUUCUAGAACUACAGCUUCUAGAAUCCCUGGAUUUCAGACAAAACAGCCUCUCACAUAUUGUACGAGAAGGAGAGCAUGGACAAAAGUCCAAGAGCUGACCAUCUCAGGAAAGCAUUAUACUUCAAUCAUGACUUUCUUUGAUUUAUAAGGAGAGCUUUAGGCAAAGCGUUUUGAAAUUCAAAACCCAUAUUUUCUGGUGAUGCUUUCUGUCAAAAACUUCUGAGAAGACAAGCAAGAAUUGGGUGCCAUUUUAUGUUGAUGGAUGGAUUUUUUUUACACUUUUGCACAAGUACAAAUAGCCCCAGUAACCUCUGUGAGAUCUCUCAGUGAGAAAUCUGUCCUGAUAACAACAGUCCCUCAAAGUAUUGGAAGAAAGACAACUUUGACCAGAAAAUUUGACCAGAAAAUUGCCAAGAUUUUUUCAAGCAGAAGUUAAAAACAUCCAAGUCCAUCUUCAUAUUUAGGCAUGAAGAAAAU